rnacentral:rRNA from 1 species
UAUGUCCUACGGGGGGCAGCAGUGGGGAAUAUUGGGCAAUGGGCGCAAGCCUGACCCAGCAACGCCGCGUGAAGGAAGAAGGCUUUCGGAUUGUAAACUUCUUUUCUCAGGGACGGAGAAAGUGACGGUACCUGAGGAAUAAGCCACGGCUAACUACGUGCCAGCAGCCGCGGUAAUACGUAGGUGGCAAGCGUUAUCCGGAUUUACUGGGUGUAAAGGGCGUGUAGGCGGGACUGCAAGUCAGAUGUGAAAACCACGGGCUCAACCUGUGGCCUGCAUUUGAAACUGUAGUUCUUGAGGACUGG